rnacentral:rRNA from 1 species
UACGUAGGAGGCGAGCGUUGUCCGGAGUUACUGGGCGUAAAGGGUGCGCAGGCGGCGGUUCGCGUGGCGAGAUGAAAUCUCCUGGCUUACCUGGGAGGAUGGUCGCCAGACGGGAUCGCUUGAGGGUCGGAGAGGGGCGUGGAAUUCCGGGUGGAGCGGUGAAAUGCGCAGAUAUCGGGAGGAACACCGGUGGCGAAGGCGGUUCUCUGGGCCUUACCUGACGCUGAGGAGCGAAAGCGUGGGGAGCGAACAGG